UCUCCUUCCAGCUGGGACCCGGGAGCUUUGCAGUGUCUGACGGUGCCACCUGGAUCACCUGGAGGUGCUGGGAAUGCAAAGGGAUCAUGGUGGAGCAGAGGAAGCAUUAUCUGGGACACAGCUGUGUGGAAGAGCUCCCAAAAUCCAUCAGACAUGGUCGGGAGGCUCUGGAGCACAAAGGUUCCUAGAGGCAACGUGUGUAUUUGUGAUUGUGUGGAAACUGACCAUGGGACAGUUAUGAAGACAAAUUCUAAUAAAUAACUGAGGAGGUAAAGCAUGGAAGAAGGCCUUUGAACCUAUCCUUUGUUCGCAAUUACCCUUUGUAAGUCUUCAGUUGAUUUAGGAUCAUUUGAAUUAAAGCUUUAAGGAUGUUUCUCUUUGACUGGAACUUUCUGCUUGUAGCUAAGCCUUAAAGAGUUUUGCAAUAAUAACCUUUUGAAGUAUAAUUUUAGAAUAUUGCUCGUAGUAAGGAUCUUUGAAACCAUCGCUUUAGAAUAUAUAAAAAGGAAACGUGCUUAUCUCGAUACAUUAAAAAAAAACAGUGAAAAGCAGCUUAAGAAAGGAAGAUGAACAUCUACUCAAGGAUUGAUGGUUUCGACCAAGAGAAGCUGGACAUCACUGUUAUGAGAUUUGGAAUUAAAAGGUGGACCCAUCUGGAAUCUGGACCUCACCAGCUGGGAGACUUCUUUCUUCUUUCGGAAGCCGGACCCCACCAUCUGGGGAUACUCCUUUCUGGGAUACAUCCUGAGAAAAACUAAAUCAUAAUAGUGUAUAGAAUUGUGACGUAAAAAUUGGGAACGGAAACUGCUGAGAAAGCUUAUGAGUACCCCUAUCAAUGCCUGUAAGCCUCAACUAUCGGUGUGCAGCUGGAGGGAAAACUUCCCCCCCUGUACCCAGCCUGUAUUGCUCAUACUUUACCAUAUGAAUUAAUAAAUUGAUUGCUGCUUGAA